UACGUAGGGGGCAAGCGUUGUCCGGAAUCAUUGGGCGUAAAGAGCGCGUAGGCGGUCCGGUAAGUCCGCUCUGAAAGCCCGGGGCUCAACCCCGGGAGGCGGGCGGAUACUGUCGGGCUAGAGUCCGGAAGAGGCGAGUGGAAUUCCUGGUGUAGCGGUGAAAUGCGCAGAUAUCGGGAGGAACACCGAUGGCGAAGGCAGCUCGCUGGGACGGUACUGACGCUGAGGCGCGAAAGCGUGGGGAGCAAACAGG
rnacentral:rRNA from 1 species